UCUCUCUCUUUGCGCAAGCGCGACGGACCCGAUCGCCCCUCUGCUCGCCGUUGAUUUCUGUUCCGAUGCCUUACACGGCCAAGUCCUCUCCUACUGGCGCUUCUUCGACUCGAUCCGCGAUCUGGGUCUCCUCCGCGACCUCUCCAAGGUCCUCUACGUCUCCGCCGAAACCAGCCACGAGGUCAUGGCGCUGUAGUUGAGCGUCGCCGACGUCAAUGGGGUCGAAUUGAUUGACUCGCCACCUCUUGUUGGAGAUCCCGUGCUUCUUGACUUGUUUGGACACUUCUUCAUACUGGGCUAUUAAGAGUUCGUCUCUACAUUUGUUGACCUUGCAAUUAGGCCCUUGAUUGACACUUUUCCUGCCAAGAUGAAGUACGAGUGGAAGCGGCAUUUAGAGGCUUGGAGAUACAGAUCUGAUUUAGACUAUGAGCAUGAGCUAUGAGGAUGGAUAGCCGCAGGACAAGAUCUUUGUCAAAUGGGUUGCUGAACAUACUGGGGUUAAGUGUAAAUUGUCCAUUUUAGGGGAGGAAUUGUUGGAAAUGCUAGCAGGAGGAAAUACUGGGGACAAAAAAAUAUGGCCACAAUUCUCAUUCCUUCCCUUUUCACUGAUUUCACUUUCUUUUUGUCCUUACUCUUUUCCCAAGCACAGUGCAAGUGUCAUCUGUUGGAGGACAGGUCUUUCUACCCUUCCAUUUGAGCUGUUGAGUUCCUGUCUUUAGCAUCUGUCUGAUCUAAUAUUCCAAUUGUCAGAUCUGCUCGACAUUAACUUAUCAUGCUUGAACGUGAUUAAACUGUCCUACACUCUACCUUUAUAUAUAUGGACUGCUGUGGGAGGCUUAUGUAAA